rnacentral:rRNA from 1 species
GACGUAGGGGGCGAGCGUUGUCCGGAUUUAUUGGGCGUAAAGAGCGCGUAGGCGGCCCGGAAAGUCGGAUGUGAAAACCCGGGGCUCAACCCCGGGCCUGCAUCCGAUACUUCCGGGCUGGAGGCAGGUAGAGGCAGAUGGAAUUCCCGGUGUAGCGGUGGAAUGCGUAGAGAUCGGGAAGAACACCAGUGGCGAAGGCGGUCUGCUGGGCCGUUGCUGACGCUGAGGCGCGACAGCGUGGGGAGCAAACAGG